rnacentral:lncRNA from 1 species
GAAAAUUCCUGGAGCCUCCAUCCUCAAGCUUUCCCACGGACAGCUGGCAUUGGCAUCUUCUUGGAUUUUGCUGGAAUGAAGUCAUUUGACUCUUCCUUAGACAAAGGUGGGUCAGAACCUGCAUUAUAACAACAUCUUCAGGUGAUGCACGUUCGGGAUGGAGAAGCAUUGCUUUGGGAAAGCCAGGUGUUGCCUGAGGGAAAAGCUGGUACUGCUUUCAGGGCAGCAAAAUCUUUAUCAUCAGCCUCCCUUCCUUUCCGUACCUGCUGUGGCUGGCUUCAAGAGGAAUAGUCAUCUUCAAGCGUAUGGCCUUCUGUCUCCUCCAAGAAGCAAUGUCUUCCCAAGAUUGCAACCUCUGAUCCGGGCUCUCCCAAGCUCCUUCUUUCUGACCCUCUGUCGCCAGUGUUGUGAAUCCGCUUUUCUGCCGUGUCUCAGACAUACUCCCCUCAGCCCAUGCCCAGGGUGGGGCUUCUCUUUUGGGGAAGACCCUGAGUGAUGUUACGUCAGCUAACACUGCCGGUAUUCUUUCAUGGAUAUUUGCUUUUCCAUAGAUCCUGCCAAUGUCUCUGUACCGUGAAGGAUACAGCACCUUUUCACUGAUCUUGGGUUAGUUUUUCACUUAUAGAUAACUUGGAGUUUAUAGUUUUCUCUGUUAUGUGUAAGUAUAGAUUAUGGUUGAUUUAGUUCUCUUCUAUCAAUAGUACACAGCUGAGCCAGGAUUUAAAAUCAGGACUGUCUGAAUCCACCACCAAGAUCCUCCCUGAAAUUCACGUUGAUUCUCCUAAUUAGUGGUUGAAUGUGACACUUCUGCUCGUAUAUAUUUACGCUCAAUUACAAUAUUUUUUACCGUAUGAUUUAAAGGUUUUUGAAGAUUUGAUUUAGCAUAUUUGUGGUUAUUCAUCUUCAUUUUUCUAAGUGAUGAACAUCGAACUGAAUGAAAACUUUGAGAGUAAGUUCUUCAUUGCGUGAUGCUGACUGCUCUUUAAGAUAGUCACUGUCCGUUUCAUAUAUUUAAGUUGUUUUUUAUUGUACUAUUUCUGCCUUUAAACCUGGAAAUUCAGCAGGGAUUUUAAGAAUCCCUUUCUAUCAUCAUCCUUUUAUUGUUUAUUGCGAUAUUUUUCAAGCUUUAUCAAUGAAUCAACAAAUCAAAAUUCUUCCAUUAAUUGUUCUUCAAAGCAAUGUCAUCUGCAUCAACAUCUCACGCUAGAAACUUCAUCAUCAAGAGAAUAUAAUAUUCCUUAAAGGUUAGCAAGGGUCCUUGGUCCAAAGACUCAAUAAUAACAUGGUGUCAGGAGGUGUAAUAACGUUUUAUUAUUAUUAUACAUAAUAUUUGUAUUUAUUAUUUUUUAAAUAUUUAAUAAGUGAUGAUAAAUGAUAGAUCUUCAAAUCAUCAUUUAGCAGCAUUCUCAUUACAGUGUUUUUAUGACUUGAAAACCAUGUAACAGGCACUCUUCAAUAUUCCAUCUCAUGGAUCUUUUCAUUUUCAGAGUGAUUCA